rnacentral:rRNA from 1 species
CGCGGUAAUUCCAGCUCCAAUAGCGUAUAUUAAAGUUGUUGCAGUUAAAACGCUCGUAGUUGAACUUUUGCUGUGCGAAACUGGGCAGUCUUAGGACUUGUUCCUUGUUUCUGACAGCAUUAUUCUGAUUCUGCAUCAGCAAGCGUUGAUGUGGUGUCAGAGAUGUUACUUUGAAUAAACUAGAGUGUUUCAAGCAGGCAUAACGCCUUGAAUACUCCAGCAUGGAAUAAUAAGUGAGAACUCAGGUUCUUCUUGUUGGUUCAAGAGCCAGAGUAAUGAUUAAUAGGGACAGUUAGGGGCAUUCGAAUUUGGUAGCUAGAGGUGAAAUUCUUAGAUUUACCAAAGACGAACUACUGCGAAAGCAUCUGCCAGGGAUGUUU